AGAGUUUGAUCCUGGCUCAGAACGAACGCUGGCGGAGUGCUUCACGCAUGCAAGUCGUACGAGAAACUCUCCUUCGGGAGACGAGUAGAGUGGCGCACGGGUGAGUAACGCGUGGACAAUCUGCCUCCGGGUUCGGGACAACCCUGGGAAACUGGGGCUAAUACCAAAUAAGACUACAGGGUCCCCGGGCCCGGUAGUAAAAGAUGGCCUCUUCUUGAAAGCUAUCGCCCGUUGAUGAGUCCGCGUCCCAUUAGCUUGUUGGUGAGGUAAAAGCUCACCAAGGCUUCGAUGGGUAGCUGGUCUGAGAGGAUGAUCAGCCACACUGGAACUGAGACACGGUCCAGACAUCUACGGAUGGCAGCAGCGGGGAAUCUUGGGCAAUGGGCGAAAGCCUGACCCAGCAACGCCGCGUGAGGGAUGAAGGCCUUCGGGUCGUAAACCUCUGUCGGGAGGGAAGAAAGGGCCGUAGGCGAAUAGCCUGCGGUCUUGACGGUACCUCCAAAGGAAGUACCGGCUAACUCCGUGCCAGCAGCCGCGGUAAUACGGAGGGUACGAGCGUUGUUCGGAAUCAUUGGGCGUAAAGCGGGUGUAGGCGGCUUGGCAAGUUGGGUGUGAAAUCCCUGGGCUCAACCCAGGAACUGCAGCCAAAACUGCCUCGCUAGAGUCUCGGAGAGGGUGGCGGAAUUCCCGGUGUAGAGGUGAAAUUCGUAGAUAUCGGGAGGAACACCAGUGGCGAAGGCGGCCACCUGGACGAUGACUGACGCUCAGACCCGAAAGCGUGGGGAGCAAACAGGAUUAGAUACCCUGGUAGUCCACGCCGUAAACGUUGGGUGCUCGUCGUAGCGGGUAUUGACCCCUGCUGUGACCAAGCUAACGCAUGAAGCACCCCGCCUGGGGAGUACGGUGGCAACACUAAAACUCAAAGGAAUUGACGGGGGCCCGCACAAGCGGUGGAGCAUGUGGUUUAAUUCGAAGCGACGCGCAGAACCUUACCUGGGUUUGACAUGUACGGAAUCUCUUGGAAACUCGAGAGUGCCUUCGGGAGCCGUAACACAGGUGCUGCAUGGCUGUCGUCAGCUCGUGUCGUGAGGUGUUGGGUUAAGUCCCGCAACGAGCGCAACCCCUAUCGUUAGUUGCCAGCAGUUCGGCUGGGCACUCUAGCGAGACUGCCGGUGUUAAACCGGAGGAAGGUGGGGAUGACGUCAAGUCCUCAUGGCCUUUAUAUCCAGGGCUACUCACGUGCUACAAUGGUCGGUACAGAGGGUCGCCAACCCGCGAGGGGGAGCCAAUCCCAAAAAGCCGGCCUCAGUUCGGAUUGGAGUCUGCAAUUCGACUCCAUGAAGGUGGAAUCGCUAGUAAUCGGAGAUCAGCACGCUCCGGUGAAUACGUUCCCGGGCCUUGUACACACCGCCCGUCACAGCACGGAAGCUGGUUGAACCAGAAGUCGGUGACCUAACCUUCGGGAAGGAACCGCCCAAGGUAUGACUAGUGAUUGGGGUUAAGUCGUAACAAGGUA
rnacentral:rRNA from 1 species